rfam:Triticum aestivum genome assembly, contig: Triticum_aestivum_CS42_TGACv1_scaffold_114254_2AS
CAAGUACUCCGUCCGUCCGAAAAUACUUGUCGGAGGAAUGGAUGUAUCUAGACGUAUUUUAGUUCUAGAUAUAUCUAUUUUCAUCCAUUUCUCCGACAAGUAUUUCCGGACGGAGGGAGUAUUUA